rnacentral:rRNA from 1 species
UAUGGCUCAGGAUGAACGCUAGCGACAGGCUUAACACAUGCAAGUCGAGGGGCAGCAUAAAAGUAGCAAUACUUGGUGGCGACCGGCGCACGGGUGAGUAACGCGUAUGCAACCUACCUAUCAGAGGGGAAUAACCCGGCGAAAGUCGGACUAAUACCGCAUAAAACAGGGACACCGCAUGGUGAUAUUUGCUAAAGAAAUUCGCUGAUAGAUGGGCAUGCGUUCCAUUAGGUAGUUGGUGAGGUAACGGCUCACCAAGCCGACGAUGGAUAGGGGAACUGAGAGGUUGAACGGCCACAUUGGAACUGAGAGACGGACCAGACUCCUACGGGAGGCAGCAGUGAGGAAUAUUGGUCAAUGGGCGGAAGCCUGAACCAGCCAUGCCCGCGUGCAGGAUGACGGCCCUACGGGUUGUAAACUGCUUUUCCCCGGGAAGAAUAAGCCCCUCGUGAGGGGUGAUGCCGGUACCGGGGGAAUAAGGAUCGGCUAACUCCGUGCCAGCAGCUGC